GUACAAAAAAUAAUCAAACAAAAAAUAAACAAAAAAAUCUUGGAGAAUAGCGAUACUGAAGAAAGCGAUUUUGAUGAAGAAGGUCUUUGCAAUGACGAUGAGUUGGAUGACAUAAUCAACGAGGGAGGUGAAACUGAUAUCUGCAUAUUAUGUGGAGACUUCGGCAAAAAGACGGAAACAUGGUUCAGAUGCACAAGUUGUGGACAAUGGGUGCAUAAAGAAUGCAGUGGAGCCAAAAGUCCCGAAAACUACAUUUGUGACUUUUGUUAAUAUGUUAAAAAAGCUUUGUUUACAUUUUCUUACUUUCAGUAUUAAAAAAUAAAUUUUCUUUUCAUAUCACUUGCGCUUUUAAUAUAGAUACCUACAUGCGCCAUCUUCACCAUCACUGUGCGUCAUCUUUCCCUCGGUGGAAGGUAAGAUGGCGCAAAAGCGUUUUUUUUUAAAGCCGCAUAAAAAAUACUUCCUUUUAUUGAAUUUAAAAAUAAUCCUAGAAAUUGGUUAUAGAAAUGUCCAAAUUACAGGCUCGUAGCAUUCAAAGUUAGCUUAAAUAUUUUUUACCCUUAAAUAAAAUGUAUUUUGCUUAGGUGCGUCAUCUUCGACGUCCUUCCCC
rnacentral:lncRNA from 1 species